GGCUCAGAUUGAACGCUGGCGGCAUGCCUUACACAUGCAAGUCGAACGGCAGCACGGGUGCUUGCACCUGGUGGCGAGUGGCGAACGGGUGAGUAAUACAUCGGAACGUACCUUAUCGUGGGGGGAUAACGCAGCGAAAGCUGUGCUAAUACCGCAUACGCCCUGAGGGGGAAAGCGGGGGAUCGAAAGACCUCGCGCGAUUAGAGCGGCCGAUGCCUGAUUAGCUUGUUGGUGGGGUAAAAGCCCACCAAGGCGACGAUCAGUAGCUGGUCUGAGAGGACGAUCAGCCACACUGGGACUGAGACACGGCCCAGACUCCUACGGGAGGCAGCAGUGGGGAAUUUUGGACAAUGGGGGAAACCCUGAUCCAGCAAUGCCGCGUGAGUGAAGAAGGCCUUCGGGUUGUAAAGCUCUUUUGUCAGGGAAGAAACACCGGCUCUAACACAGUCCGGGAAUGACGGUACCUGAAGAAUAAGCACCGGCUAACUACGUG
rnacentral:rRNA from 1 species